UACAGAGGUCUCAAGCGUUGUUCGGAUUCAUUGGGCGUAAAGGGUGCGUAGGCGGCGCGGUAAGUCGGGUGUGGAAAUUUCGAGGCUUAACUUCGAAACUGCAUUCGAUACUGCCGUGCUUGAGGACUGGAGAGGAGACUGGAAUUCUCGGUGUAGCGGUGAAAUGCGUAGAUAUCGAGAGGAACACCUGCGGCGAAGGCGGGUUGCUGGGCGUGACACUGACGCUGAUGCGCGAAAGCCAGGGGAGCGAACGGG
rnacentral:rRNA from 1 species